rnacentral:rRNA from 1 species
UACGGAGGGGGCUAGCGUUGUUCGGAAUUACUGGGCGUAAAGAGCGUGUAGGCGGUCCGGUAAGUCCGCUGUGAAAGUCGGGGGCUCAACCCUCGAAUGCCGGUGGAUACUGUCGGGCUAGAGUGCGGAAGAGGCGAGUGGAAUUCCUGGUGUAGCGGUGAAAUGCGUAGAUAUCGGGAGGAACACCAGUGGCGAAGGCGGCUUUCUGGUCUGCUCUUGACGCUGAGGCGCGAAAGCUAGGGUAGCAAACGGG